CGAGCUUUUCUUCUUUCAUUUCCGCCUUUCUCUUCUCUCUCCUCUCCGCUGUUCUCUCUUAUUCACCGGGACAAGAAAACCAGACCGGCGACAGGCGGGCGGCGACCACCGACCGGAGCUUGACGAAGAUGCUGUCGUUGCAUGGCUGCAGCCAUCGCGGGUGACGAAGCUUCAAGCAGCCUCGCUUCCAUCGCGAGUGACCAAGUUUUCAGGCGGCAGACUUGCAGCGAUCGCGGGAAGCAGCGGCCUUGUUUUUCGUCCUGGAAUUUUCGGGGGAAAGAUGUUUCCGGAAAGACAUCGGCUAUGCGGCACGUAGUGGAUUAAUGUAUCUUGAUUUAUCAGGCAACAAUUUUAUAGAAGGAGCAUCCUCCGUUUGAUUUGCCAAGCUUAAUGCACCAGAAAAGCUCCUCUUAAGAUGAGUAUGAACGAGCUUUGCUGGGAAAAAAAAGCUUGGGGAACAUUUCAUGGUCAAAUCGAAAAGGUGAAGAUGAUGAUGAUGAUGAUGAGGAGGAGGAAUGUGCUUCCAACCACCCAUCAUAGUAUAAGCGCCCUCUGUAUGCAACCAGGUCUGCGUAAUAUACUGGUGGUACCAAAGAAACUGGCCUGGUGCACCUGGCAAACGUGAAGCACAGAUUAUACACCCAUGACUGCAAUUCAUUUGAUGAGAAUUUAUUUUCAUCCCACAAGACGUGGUAAUGUGCAGGCUUGCUUGUCCCAAACGAUCCAUGGUGACUGCAGAGAAAGAAAUCAAGCCCGUUCUUCACAUGAACAAUCUUUGUAUCGACUAUGGUCCCUGGAGGCACGUUGCCUUGCUUUGUCGCAUCCUGAAGAAAAAGUCUUGUGCGGUGCCGUUUCUGGGCAACAAUAAGUGUUAUAGAUGGAUUAUAGCUAAUACUUGCAAAUGCCGUCUUCAUCUCCUUCAACUCCUCGUCGAGCACCAUGUUGAACUGCCCUUCACUAACACCAUCCCGGAAAAAGACAACCUUUUCUGCAUAUUUUCUGUUUCUCUCGUGAUACAUCUGUGCAAGCUUUAUGCACAUAUCACCAAGAUUCACAAUCUUUUCCUUACGGUUGUC